rnacentral:rRNA from 1 species
GAACGCUGGCGGCGUGCCUAACACAUGCAAGUCGAACGGAACUUUUUUAAUUGACUUCUUCGGAAUGAUUUUGAUUAAGUUUAGUGGCGGACGGGUGAGUAACGCGUGAGUAACCUGCCUCUAAGAGGGGAAUAACAUUCUGAAAAGAAUGCUAAUACCGCAUAAUAUAUAUUUAUCGCAUGGUAGAUAUAUCAAAGAUUUACCGCUUAGAGAUGGACUCGCGUCCGAUUAGUUAGUUGGUGAGGUAACGGCUCACCAAGACCGCGAUCGGUAGCCGGACUGAGAGGUUGAACGGCCACAUUGGGACUGAGACACGGCCCAGACUCCUACGGGAGGCAGCAGUGGGGGAUAUUGCGCAAUGGGGGAAACCCUGACGCAGCAACGCCGCGUGAAGGAUGAAGGUCUUCGGAUUGUAAACUUCUUUUAUUAAGGACGAAGAAAGUGACGGUACUUAAUGAAUAAGCUCCGGCUAACUACGUGCCAGCAGCCGCGGUAAUACGUAGGGAGCAAGCGUUGUCCGGAUUUACUGGGUGUAAAGGGUGCGUAGGCGGCUUUGCAAGUCAGAUGUGAAAUCUAUGGGCUCAACCCAUAGCCUGCAUUUGAAACUGCAGAGCUUGAGUGAAGUAGAGGCAGGCGGAAUUCCCCGUGUAGCGGUGAAAUGCGUAGAGAUGGGGAGGAACACCAGUGGCGAAGGCGGCCUGCUGGGCUUUAACUGACGCUGAGGCACGAAAGCGUGGGUAGCAAACAGGAUUAGAUACCCUGGUAGUCCACGCUGUAAACGAUGAUUACUAGGUGUGGGGGGUCUGACCCCUUCCGUGCCGGAGUUAACACAAUAAGUAAUCCACCUGGGGAGUACGGCCGCAAGGUUGCAAC